rnacentral:rRNA from 1 species
ACUAGUGGCGCACGGGUGCGUAACGCGUAACCAACCUACCUGGAUCUGGGGGAUAGCCCGCCGAAAGGCGGAUUAAUACCGCAUAAAACCACAGAGUGGCAUCACUUAAUGGUUAAAGAUUUAUUGGAUUCAGAUGGGGUUGCGUAGCAUUAGCUAGUUGGCGGGGUAACGGCCCACCAAGGCGACGAUGCUUAGGGGACCUGAGAGGGUGAUCCCCCACACUGGCACUGAGAUACGGGCCAGACUCCUACGGGAGGCAGCAGUAGGGAAUAUUGGGCAAUGGGCGAGAGCCUGACCCAGCCAUGCCGCGUGCCGGAUGAAGGCCUUCUGGGUUGUAAACGGCUUUUCUCAGGGAAGAAAAAGGUGAUGCGUCACAAACUGACGGUACCUGAGGAAUAAGCACCGGCUAACUCCGUGCCAGCAGCCGCGGUAAUACGGAGGGUGCAAGCGUUGUCCGGAUUUAUUGGGUCUAAAGGGUGCGUAGGUGGCCCUGCAAGUCCGUGGUGAAAGCCUGCUGCUCAACAGCAGAACUGCCAUGGAUA